GACGAACGCUGGCGGCGUGCUUAACACAUGCAAGUUGAACGGAGUAUGUUGGAAGGGUAACCGGAAGACAUAUUUAGUGGCGAACGGGUGAGUAAUGCAUGAGAACGUAUCCUCAAGAGGGGGACAACAUUGGGAAACCGAUGCUAAUACCCCAUAAGCCGGGAGGUAAAAGGAGCAAUCCGCUUGAGGAGCGGUUCAUGUCCUAUCAGCUAGUUGGUGAGGUAACGGCUCACCAAGGCGAAGACGGGUAGCCGGCCUGAGAGGGUGAACGGCCACACUGGAACUGAGGGACGGUCCAGACUCCUACGGGAGGCAGCAGUGGGGAAUAUUGGGCAAUGGGGGAAACCCUGACCCAGCGACGCCGCGUGAGGGAAGAAGGCCUUAGGGUCGUAAACCUCUGUUGUGUGGGAAGAAGAGCGUGACGGUACCACACGAGGAAGUCCCGGCUAACUACGUGCCAGCCGCCGCAGUAAUAC
rnacentral:rRNA from 1 species